GAUGAACGCUGGCGGCGUGCUUAACACAUGCAAGUCGAACGAUCAAGCCCAGCUUGCUGGGUGCAUUUGUGGCGAACGGGUGAGUAACUCGUGCGUAACCUACCCUUAACUCUGGGAUAAGCCUGGGCGACUGAGUCUAAUACCGGCUAGGAGCGUCCACCGCCCGCUGGGUGUUGGAAAGAUUUAUCGGCUUUGGAUGGACUCGCGGCCUAUCAGCUCGUUGUUGAGGUGUUGGCUAACGAAGGCCUUGACGGGUCGACGACCUGUGGGGGGGACCGGCCACACUGGGACUGAGAGACGGCCCAGUCUCCAACGGGAGGCAGCAGUGGGGAAUAUUGCACAAUGGGCGCAAGCGUGAUACAGCGACGCCGCGUGAGGGAAGACGGGUUUCUGGGUGUAAACCUAUUUGAGUAGAGAAGAAGCGAAAGUGACGGUACCUGCAGAAAAAGCACCGGCUAACUACGUG
rnacentral:rRNA from 1 species